CACGUAGGGUGCGAGCGUUGUCCGGAAUUAUUGGGCGUAAAGAGCUCGUAGGCGGUGUGUCGCGUCGGCCGUGAAAACCUGCAGCUUAACUGUGGGCUUGCGGUCGAUACGGGCAUCACUGGAGUUCGGCAGGGGAGACUGGAAUUCCUGGUGUAGCGGUGAAAUGCGUAGAGAUCCGGAGGAACACCGACGGCGUAGGCAGCGCCCUGGCCGUUUCCUGACGCUGAUGCACGAAAGCUGGGGGAGCAAACAGG
rnacentral:rRNA from 1 species